UCACCCUGCCAAGGGCACGUACUUAUUUGUAUUGCCAUACGAAUGAGCUGUAGCUAUGGAAUGUAAAGAAGUAUGUACCCUGGGCAGGGCUC
rnacentral:pre_miRNA from 1 species